GAUUAAUUUGGCUUUGGUUAUAAUAUAAAUUAUUAUUAAAUUAAUAUAUGUUAAGUUUAUAAAGUGAGAUUGGUUUAUUUAUUUAUUUAUUUAUUUAAUUUAUUUAAUAUAGGUUAAAUAAGUAAAUAUCAUUUUUAGUGUUUUAUUAUAAUGAUGAGAGUAAAUUACGCAGUAUUUAUUAUUAUACAAUGAAUGAGAGUUUGAUAUAGUUAAUGUAGUUAAAAGUGGUUAAAUUGGUGCCAGCAUCUGCGGUUAUACUAAUACUUUGGGUUUAUAUUUAUAUAGUAUAAAAUAAAGUAUUAGUUUUUAUUAAUGUUUAGGUUAAUUAAGGACAGUGAUUGGAGGUAAAAUUUGGUAAUGUUAUAAUGUAUUAUUCUAAUUAUAAAUUCUUUGAAAGUAAGAAGAAAAACUAGGAUUAGAUACCCUAUUAUUCUUUAUUUUAAAAAUUUUGUUACUUGAGUAGUGUGAAUAUUUAUUUAAAUAUAGUAAAUUGUUUAGUUAUGUGUUUGAAACUUAAAAGGCUUGGCGGUGUCAUAUACCCUUCCAGAGGAGUUUGCUUAUUAAUUUGAUAAUCCUCAAUUUAUACUUACUUUUUUUUGAAUAAUUAUUAUAUAAUCAGUUUGUAUAUUGCUGUCAUCAGUUUAUUUUGUAAAAAUUUUAUAAGAAACUUAAGAAUUAAGUGGUUAUAAAGUCAAGUCAAAAUGCAGCUAAUAAAAAAGGUUUAUAAAGUGAGCUACAAUAUGUAAUUUUUAUUCGGAUUGGAUUAUGUAAUUGAUCUAUGAAGUUGGAUUUGGUAGUAAUAUUAUAAUAGUGGGGUUUUAUGAAUUAGGUUUUAUGAUGCGUACAUAUCGCCCGUCGCUCUUGUUGGAAAAUAAGAUAAGUCGUAACAUAGUAGAUGUAGUGGAAACUGUUUCUG
rnacentral:ncRNA from 1 species